AGCGGCAGAAGAGGAAGAACGAAACGUUGCACGAGUAUCUGUACGCUCUGAUGGAGUGGGCAAAGCCAAUCGAGAUGGAUGACGAAAGUUUAAUUGAAUAUUUUGUCAGCGGGAUUCCAGAUUCUAGUACAAACAAGGCUUUACUGUAUCAAGCUAGGAAUAUGAGGCAAUUGAAGGUGCAAAUUGAGGCAUACCAGAAAAUGACAGGGUCGGUGUGAUCACAAGGGAAGUUUUGACUCACACUUCAAUAAAGGAGAAAAAUAGUUAGUGAAAUCAGCGGAAAAGUUUAAAAAUUGUUUUAACUGCGGAGAUGAGUCGCAUAUUAAGCGGGAUGGUCCAAAAAGAGAUAACAGGUGUUUCAGAUGCAACCAGCUAGGACAUAGAGCUGCUCAGUGCAAGGUCGACAUGGCAAUUAAACAGGAGAAAGCAACCAAUCUAGUUCUGGAGAAUGGUAGGACAAAGCCAUCAAGCACGUUCACUUCGUCAGGAUUAGAGUUGAAAUCGGUAAACUACGGAAAAGUUGUGUUUAAAGGAUUGGUCGAUACAGGUGCAGAUUUGUGUCUUCUAAGCAGAAAUGUGUUUUUGAAGCUUGGUAGAGGAAAACUGGCAGGACGUAGUAAAUGUUUAACGGGAAUUGGUGAAAGCUAAAUUAUGACUUUCGGUAGUAUCACAAUACCUGUGCAGAUUGAUGACAUUGACUUAAUUGUAGAAUUUCACGUAAUUGCGGACGAGGACAUGGGAUUUGAUGCUAUAUUGGGUAGAACUCUUUUAGAGAGUGUGGACAUGAAGGUAACAAGAGAUGGAACAGCACUAGUCCUCAGAUCAGGAAGUCAAGUAAGUACUAGGCGCAAUGUUCCAGAACAUAGAGAUGAGAGGGAAAAUGUUAAUUCAUGUACGGAGUUGCUGAAUGAGUUUCAGAGUUUGUGUAUGGUGAACUUAGAGCAGAGUGAAGCUAUAAAUAUUGAUUUGUCACAUUUGCCCUAUUCAGAGAGAGAUCAAAUAAGAAAGAUAAUUGAGGAAUACAAGCCGAGUCGAAAUGUGCAUUGCCCUAUAGAGAUGAAAAUUGUACUAACAAAUGAUUUACCUGUGUAUCAGCAUCCUAGGCGUAUGGCUUAUAGUGAGCAGAACAUAGUAGACGAGCAGGUCAACGAGUGGUUAGCACAAAAAAUAAUAAAGCACAGUACAUCAGAAUAUGCCUCUCCGAUUGUAUUAGUACCAAAGAAGAAUGGACAGAAACGUCUAUGCUGCGAUUAUCGAAAGUUAAAUGAGAAAAUAGUGCGAGAUAACUUUCCGAUGGUACAGAUGCAGGAUGUUAUUGAGAAAUUUUGUAGUUCAGUCACAAAAGUAUACAUCAUUUGUAACGCAGAAAGGACAAUAUGAGUUCCUAUUUGUACCGUUUGGGAUUUCGAAUUCGCCUGCAAUCUUCACACGUUUCAUUGUUGCGGUAAUGAGAGAAUUGGUUCAGAAGGGUGACGCUGUAGUAUAUAUGGAUGAUAUCAUUAUACCAAGUAAGGAUGUUAAGGAAGGCUUACAGAAGUUGAAAAGAGUGCUAGAAGUGACAAGAAAGAAUGGUUUGAAGAUAAACUAGAGUAAAGGUCAAAUUUUGCAAAGUAAGGUAGAUUUCUUGGGGUAUGUUAUAGAAAAUGGUACCAUAACACCCGGUAAGGAGAAAACACAGUGCGUAGCAAACUUUCCGAUCCCAAAGGAUAAAAAAGCUAUACAACGAUUCAUUGGGCUGACUUCUUAUUUCAGGAAAUUCAUUGAAGGAUACGCAGUACCAAAGAAGAAUGGACAGAAACGUCUAUGCUGCGAUUAUCGAAAGUUAAAUGAGAAAAUAGUGCGAGAUAACUUUCCGAUGGUACAGAUGCAGGAUGUUAUUGAGAAAUUUUGUAGUUCAGUCACAAAAGUAUACAUCAUUUGUAACGCAGAAAGGACAAUAUGAGUUCCUAUUUGUACCGUUUGGGAUUUCGAAUUCGCCUGCAAUCUUCACACGUUUCAUUGUUGCGGUAAUGAGAGAAUUGGUUCAGAAGGGUGACGCUGUAGUAUAUAUGGAUGAUAUCAUUAUACCAAGUAAGGAUGUUAAGGAAGGCUUACAGAAGUUGAAAAGAGUGCUAGAAGUGACAAGAAAGAAUGGUUUGAAGAUAAACUAGAGUAAAGGUCAAAUUUUGCAAAGUAAGGUAGAUUUCUUGGGGUAUGUUAUAGAAAAUGGUACCAUAACACCCGGUAAGGAGAAAACACAGUGCGUAGCAAACUUUCCGAUCCCAAAGGAUAAAAAAGCUAUACAACGAUUCAUUGGGCUGACUUCUUAUUUCAGGAAAUUCAUUGAAGGAUACGCAGUCAUAGCCAGGCCAUUGUCGGAUUUGUUGAGAAAGGAUUCUAAGUUCGAGUUCAAGGAGUUGCAGCGAUUAGCAUUCGAGCAAUUGAAAGCCGCUCUCACUUGGAAACCAGUUUUAUGAUUGUACAAUCCUAAAUUAUCUACGGAGAUACACAUGGAUGCUUCUAAGUUAGGUUUUGGGGCUGUCUUGUUACUUCCUUGUCUUGGGGAGCAGAAAUGUCCAAUGAACGUCUAGUGAGGGCAUUGCUGCUGACACCAAUUACAUUUAUUCCCGUCUGCCAGGCCACUCACUGUGGCUGGUGUUCGGAAUUUUUGGCCAAAGGCUCCCUUACUUUAUAAAAAAAAAAAAAGGAUCCAGAAGAUGGUCAGCUGCACCCAGUGAUGUAUAUGAGUAAGAAAACAAAGCCAUGUGAGGAAAACUAUCAUUCAUACGAACUUGAAGUGCUAGCAGUAAUAGGAGCGUUGACUAAAUGGCGUGUGUAUGUUCUCGGACUGAAAUUUAAAAUCAUUACAGACUGUAACGCGUUUGCCAUGACGAUGAAAAAGAAAGACGUUCCAUUAAGAGUAGCUAGGUGGGCAAUGUAUCUGCAGGACUACGAGCCUCAACGAUCGACGCCAUUUAAUUCGGUGCCAAAGUCUCACUCAGCCACACGCAAAUUACGAGCGCAAAUAUCUGUAUUAAUCAAAAUAUACUUCAAGCACAGCGACCGUUGUAAUCAUAACUAAUCUUAAAUAAUAUUCAUAAAUAAAUAUUCAUAAUAAAACCUGGCGUCCUGGACUAAAGUACAACUACGGAAAAUCCGGGGCCACAAUUUUUGGGGGCUCAACCGGGAUUUGAACGAUUACAAACGGAAAGUAAUUAAACUAAAGUUGUGUUUUACAAAUAUUGCGAGAACUCGGUGAAUUGUGGUGGCGUUGUUUGGAACAUUCUGGAAGAAAUCUGCAAAAACUCUGCUGCGCGAAAAUUCAAACAAAAGGCAAUUGGCAAAGCAACGCGAGAGUGAGCAAGACGGCAGCAUGCAGCUACGGUAAAAAGGAGAAGAAAAACCGAAGCAAACCGAAUCAAGAGGAACGGCGUAAGCAGCAGAGACGGCGAUAAAGAGACCCAGUACCCAAUCUGAAGGCAACGCAAGACUUGGUGGAUGGUCAGCAACGUGCAAUAGGCAGGAUCGUUGGCGGUGAGCAGCAUUUAGACAAGGAGAAAGGCGUGGAGCAGAGAAGCUAGUGGUUCGCAAGUACUGUACGGCGAAAAAGGCAGCUGGUCAACGCAAAAAGUCUGCAGCAAGAAGACGACGAGAAAAUUGACAAGGCAGUGAGUGCGUGGAAACGAGACGCAGCAGUCAGUAACUGUAAAAGCAGAGGAAUAGAGAGGAACGGCGUAAACAGCAGAGACGGCGAUAAAGAGACCCAGUACCCAAUCUGAAGGCAACGUAAGACUUGGUAGAUGGUCAGCAACGUGCAAUAGGCAGGAUCGUUGGCGGUGGACAUCAUCUGGACAAGGAGAAAGGCGUGGAGCAGAGAAGGUAGCUAGUGGUUUGCAAGUACUGUACGGUGAAAAAGGCGGCUGGUCACGACGAAAAUUCUGGAACUGUGUUGGUGUGACGACGACAGAAAAUUCUGGAGCUGUGUUGGUGUGACGACGACAGAAAAUUUUGGAGCUGUGUUGGUGUGACGACGACAGAAAAUUCUGGAGCUGUGUUGGUGCGACGACAACGAAAACAUUUUGGAAUUGGUUGUUGUUGGAAAUUCAUUGAAGGAUACGCAGUCAUAGCCAGGCCAUUGUCGGAUUUGUUGAGAAAGGAUUCUAAGUUCGAG